CCCAGCAGUGGCUGUAGGUUUCUGUCCCUUGAUGACAUGAUCUUCAGAGGCUUCUCCGGCUCUAUCAGGAUGAUGCAAAACAAUGCCAUACCUCUUCUGGGGUGGUGCAUGUGAGUGAUGCAUCUGCUUAAUAUGGGACUGCUGCCAGCCUGCUGGCGCAUCCCCUGCUGAUCUACUGGGAUCAAGUGAUUUCUUGCUUCCUUGUUAACUGCUGGUGGUGAAAUAUAUUCAGUUUUUUCAGGUUUCUUUGAAAUAAAUGUCUCUUACACAUCUCUUGUCCAAAUGGGUACUGGUCAAUCAUGAAAAAUCAAGGGACUGAGAGGCUAUCUUCUUAAGAGCUGCAGGAUGCAGAAUAGGAAAUUGACUACAUUUUUGUGGCUUACACAAAUUGUAAUUGCUCUCAAAUCAUGCGUUAUUUUUGAAGAGGCUCAAGGAAAACAGUGUUUCUCCUUUGUGUGUUAAUGAAGAAGAUACACAACCAAAAACAUUUUUACAUAAAAUUCUGUAUUUGGUACUUGAUCACAGUAAGGAAUAUUUCCUCUGCUUGGUUUAUCACCUGUAGCUUUAUGUGACUAUGUCUCCAGCAGAUUUGUCUCAGUUAUGCAUGAGCUACAGAGGUACAGAAAUAAGAAUGCACUUGAAAGUCUUUAUCAUGCCCUUAUGUUAGUUAACUUAUGGAGGGAAGAGGCAGGAAAUGCAAUUUUUCCCACAUUUUUCUUCAGAAAGCCAAUAAUUGUCUCCCAUUUAUAUUUAAUUGUUGAUUUCCUUAGUGAAAUUGGAGGUGGAAACUCAAUAAAAAGAAGUUUUCAACCAUAA